rnacentral:rRNA from 1 species
UACGUAGGGGGCAAGCGUUGUCCGGAAUUAUUGGGCGUAAAGAGCGCGUAGGCGGUCCGAUAAGUCGGCUGUGAAAGUCCGGGGCUCAACCCUUGGAAGCCGGCCGAUACUGUCGGACUAGAGUCCGGAAGAGGCGAGUGGAAUUCCCGGUGUAGCGGUGAAAUGCGCAGAUAUCAGGAGGAACACCAAUUGCGAAGGCAGCUCGCUGGGACGUUACUGACGCUGAGACGCGAAAGCGUGGGGAGCAAACAGG